rnacentral:rRNA from 1 species
UACGUAGGGUGCAAACGUUAAUCGGAAUUACUGGGCGUAAAGCGUGCGCAGGCGGUUUUGUAAGUCUGUCGUGAAAGCCCCGGGCUCAACCUGGGAAUUGCGAUGAAGACUGCAAGGCUAGAAUCUGGCAGAGGGGGGUAGAAUUCCACGUGUAGCAGUGAAAUGCGUAGAGAUGUGGAGGAACACCGAUGGCGAAGGCAGCCCCCUGGGUCAAGAUUGACGCUCAUGCACGAAAGCGUGGGGAGCAAACAGG